GUGCUUGCUACAGCAGCACAUAUACAAAAAUUGGAUCGAUACAGAGAAGAUUAGCAUGGCCCCUGGCGCAAGGAUGACAUGCAUAAUCGUGAAGCAUUUUAAUUAAAA